CUUCUCACAGCUUUGGUUGGAAGCAUUUUUUUUUUAAUUUUUUUUUUCAACGUUUAUUUAUUUUUGGGACAGAGAGAGACAGAGCAUGAACGGGCGAGGGUCAGAGAGAGAGGGAGACACAGAAUCGGAAGCAGGCUCCAGGCUCUGAGCCAUCAGCCCAGAGCCCGACGCGGGGCUCGAACUCACGGACUGCGAGAUCGUGACCUGGCUGAAGUCGGACGCUCAACCGACUGCGCCACCCAGGCGCCCCUGGUUGGAAGCAUUUUUGAGAUUUUUCUGGAUUAAGCCAUUAUUUCAUCUCCUGUCCUCCCUGAAUCACGUCCUCCAUAAGACAACUUAAAAGUUUUUAUGUCUAGAGCAGGGAGAAGAUCAGUGAUGUGAUACUAGAAGCUUAAAGAAGAAAAAUACUUCAAGAUCUUAUAAAGGUCUCCAACGUUUGCCUCUGUCAGCAUAGCUCCUCCCAUUUGCCUUAUGACUCACGUUUCAUAAUCAGCAAUUAAAGCCAAGGAAAUGUGGAAAACAUUUGUUGCUUCUGCUUUAUGGCCUGAUCGAUCAAUGGUUGCAUCUGCUUCUUGUGGAUUCUUGGCAUCCACGUCCGUUCUUGUGGAUCUUGCGAUGAACACUUCAGGGUAGGUAGCACUGUCGGUUCUAGACGCAUGCACGCCCAUAUAGACUAAAAAAGGCAAUCCAGCCAAAGUAAGGCUGAGACUCUAUUUGUCAAAUUCAAUACUCUGUAUAGGUCAGCCCAAUGUCCUUUUAGUAUCUGCAUUCCGCUCCCCACCCCCACCCCCAGCCCGCCAUCACUUCCUUUCCAUAAUCCCCUCCCCUCUACUCUUUUCUCCAGUUCACUCGUCUCUAGGAGGUAGCUUCUUAGAACAGCUCCAUAUAGUUUGCUUUGGUUGAGUUUUUUCUUAGUUUUUGUCACUUAGUUUGGAAGAAAAAAAAUUUUUCAAGAAAACGACGGGGGAGGGGGCGGCCAAGCUCCACUAACGGUAUAGAAUUAAUUCGUACUGACUAUCCAAAAGAGAAUACCGCCUGUCCAAAUACUGGCUAUCCCAAAGAGAGAGGAGAGCCUUGAGGAAAGGCCACUCCGCAGGAGGUU
rnacentral:lncRNA from 1 species